AGUAAUAUUUUUUAUUAUUAGAUAUUAGUUAUUGAUUUUAUUCCACUUUAACUUAUAAAAUUCAUUUCGCCACAUUAUUAACAUUCAAAUAAAACCUAAUAAAGCGUAUAACGCGCCCUAGUAAAAAGUAUAAGUUUUGCCUAAUGGCGUAAAUAUAUUAGGCAAAACUUAUACUUUCGAUAAUGUUUGGGAUUGAAAAUUUUCAACAUGGCAUCCGAUGCAGAAGCCAGAAAACUAGGAGGUUCCGAUUCUUCUUCGUGGAUAUAUUUAUCUUUGGGUAUGAUACCAAUGGAGUUUGACCCCCAGCUGAUUAUGGGUUUCCCGAUUUUCACAUAAUCAUCAUCGUCGCGGAAGUCGCCAUCAUUCCUGCCAUCAUUCCCACCAAGCUGCUCCGCGGUUUCGGGCUGAAGCGCCAUUUGAAGCUCUGAGAUGAUAUCAAGCUGCAAGAAAAAGAACGUCAACACGUUCUGCGUGCGUGCCGGAAGUAUCAUCGGAACAGGACAUUAAUAGCCAGGUCGACGCGGAGACAUAUAUGGAAUUAUAGGAAAUUAUGAAGCAGUUCGACACGAAAAAAUCGUCAUCCCGGGCCCCAACUCGUCGGUGCACAGUUAUAGUCGUCGUACAAGAGCUACGGUGAUCGGGCUUGGGUGCUCGUUGAAUUUUCCACAAGCCGCGAUAAUGUGCUUCGUGUUUUAAACUGUAUUUUACCAUUUGAAAAUAAACAUUGAGGUAUAA